UACGAAGGGGGCGAGCGUUGUUCGGAUUUACUGGGCGUAAAGGGCGCGUAGGCGGCGCGGUAAGUCACUUGUGAAAUCUCUGAGCUUAACUCAGAACGGCCAAGUGAUACUGCAGUGCUAGAGUGUGGAAGGGGCAAUCGGAAUUCUUGGUGUAGCGGUGAAAUGCGUAGAUAUCAAGAGGAACACCUGAGGUGAAGGCGGGUUGCUGGGCUGACACGUGACGCUGGAGGCGCGAAAGCUAGGGGAGCGAACGGG
rnacentral:rRNA from 1 species